CCGUCAAUUCCUUUGAGUUUUAGCCUUGCGGCCGUAGUCCUCAGGCGGCACACUUAACGCGUUAGCUUGGGCCCUGGUGGGGUCGAAUCCGCCAAGACCUAGUGUGCACCGUUUAGGGCGUGGACUACAGGGGUAUCUAAUCCCUUUUGCUCCCCACGCUUUCGUGCCUGAGCGUCAGCAAUUGUCCAGGUAGCCGCCUUCGCCUCUGGUAUUCCUCACGAUAUCUACGCAUUUCACUGCUACACCGUGAAUUCUGCUACCCUCUCCAAUGCUCUAGCCAUGUAGUUUGAGGUGCAAUUCCGGGGUUAAGCCCCGGGCUUUCACACCUCACACACACGGCCGCCUGCGCACCCUUUACGCCCAAUCAUUCCGGAUAACGCUUGCAUCCUCUGUCUUACCG
rnacentral:misc_RNA from 1 species